UAAGCCUAUUUGUCACGCUAGAGUACUAAAGGCUACAAUGCACUUGCAAAUCGUCCACCAGAUAUUGAUGAAUUAGGUUAGAAUUACCUUUCUGACUACUCCUGUAGUCCAAAUUUGAUUUGCGCAUAGGCUGACUUUUGAUCUUUACUACUCUUAUUACUCAUAUCUUUAUUGAUUUUGAUCUUGGCUAAACUUCAUAAGUGCAGAAGAUGAGUGAGAGGAAUAAGAUCAAUAGUUCAAAGCAAAAACCACUCACACAAUUGGAACAAAAUCUAUUGUAAUUGCACAAUAACUUUCAGAGAGAGAAGAAUUCAAGAAAAGAGUAUAACAAGCCAAAAAGCACUCAGCUGAAUUGGAAAUGGCAGUUCAAUCCCAACAACUUAUGGAGAGGCUUGUAAACCAACAAAGUGAAAUGCAGAACCAAGACACAUCUACUCAUAUUGAAUGAUAUAUUGCACAUUUUAGAGUUUUGGAAGAUGAGUAGCCGAGGCUACUUAUUGACUCAAAGACUAGUUAUAGUGCUAUCUUAUGCUUAGGAAAUGUUUCGUAUAACACAAAAAUGUUUUGGGACUUGGAUUCGUUUUGUAUUGCUCCCUUGCCUUAUGUGAUACAACUCACUCUAAUACUACUUGUCAAACUCUUUAUAAUAUGAUGUUGCACAUGAUUAUGAUA